GGGAGAAUAUAUUAAUGGUAGAUAAUUGGUCUCCAAAACCAAUAGUGUGGGUUCAAGUCCCACUUCUCUCG
rnacentral:tRNA from 1 species